rnacentral:rRNA from 1 species
GACGAACGCUGGCGGCGUGCUUAACACAUGCAAGUCGAACGGAAAGGCCUCUUUCGGGGGGUACUCGAGUGGCGAACGGGUGAGUAACACGUGAGUAACCUGCCCUUGACUUUGGGAUAACUUCAGGAAACUGGGGCUAAUACCGGAUAGGUGCUCCUGCUGCAUGGUGGGGGUUGGAAAGUUUCGGCGGUCGGGGAUGGACUCGCGGCGUAUCAGCGUGUUGGUGGGGUAGUGGCUUACCAAGGCCUUGACGGGUAGCCGGCCUGGGAGGGUGACCGGCCACAUUGGGACUGGGAUACGGGCCAGACUCCGACGGGGGGCAGGAGUGGGGAAUAUUGCACCAUGGGUGGGAGCCUGAUGCAGCAACGCCGUGUGCGGGAUCACGGCCUUCGGGUUGUAAACCGCUUUCGCUCAUGACGAAGCUUUGUGUGACGGUAGUGGGUAAAGAAGCACCGGCUAACUACGUG